rnacentral:lncRNA from 1 species
AUCCAUGCAUAGAAAUCGGAAUCAAACAAAAUAGAAACGUAAACGCGGAUUGCAGAGUCCACGGUCUUUAUAUCACGGGCUUCAGACCGAAUCCUUUAUACACGGAGAUAUUGGGAAGUAUGAAUUUCGUAGCUGAAGAUUGGAUGGAGAAAGAUAACUCAACAAGCACAGUCUCUACUGAUAACAACCCUCCAUUGUUACCCAAUGACUGUCCUAAGGUGUAUGUAUGGGGUUUGAACGAUAAAGACCAACUGGCUGGUGUC